AUUUUGCCAUAUUUUAAGCAGCAAACUCAAUCCUGUUUCUUUUGCUUCAACAGACCGUCCUCUCCCCGGUUCCUGAUGAAGGCCGUCUGCGUAGAACCUGCCUCUGGACUCAGGAAGCGCAAGCCUUUCCUUCCUUCUCGAAUCGAAUUUGAGAUGGAGCGGAUGAUGAUUGGAAAUGACUACGAUGGUGAAGCCUGGCACGUCGUGAACUUACUCUGUAUUAGGUGCGUCUCUUCUCUUAUGUAAUCCCCAAACAAGAGAGAAAGUCUGUGAAUGAGAAAACUAAAGGACAUAAAUAGCAAGCCACAUGACCAGAGGCACAAACUUAGCAAGGAAAUCCUAGACGCUCGAUUAGAACACAGAUUUUCAGCACAAAUUUUAAAUCCCCCCCCCCUUUAAACAGUUUUAUUUAGACAUAAUUGAUAGCCUGGAAACUGAAAACAUUGAAAGUAUAAAAUUUGAUGUUGUAGCAUAAAUAGUCAUUUGUAAAAAUAUCACUAUGAUAAAAAUUCUGAGUGUGCAGGUCCC
rnacentral:lncRNA from 1 species